ACAUGUCUACAACAUAGUGUUAAUGCACCAGAUCCCAUUGGAACUCUACAUUUAAGUGUGCUCGGGCUAGAGAAGGUACUAGGAUGGGUGACUUCCCAGGAAGUCCUAAUUUUUUACAUGCC
rfam:Picea glauca, whole genome shotgun sequence.